GAGACACAUAUACGUGUCUCGUUGAGGGAAACGUUGCGUGACUGAAUCAAAAAGCGGCUGCGAGGCGACUACACUUAGGACCCAGGCUUGUUUCUUCUAAAAAAAACGCCAGGAGGCUUUCGCUGGAAACUGCUUUCGGGCAAAGACGACUCCCGUCUAAUCCUGUGGAACCCCGGCCGACGUCCCGUUAGGUCUCGCAAGCUGACCUUCCCUGCCACUAUAUCAAGGGACACGGGGAUCCCGCACACGACCUGCCAUCCGCCAUAGCCAUCACAUCCAAAUUGCAACUGGGCUUGAAUGUACGGCGGCGUGCGGCGACGACGACGACGACGGCGAUGAUGAUGAUGAUGAUGAUGAUAAAAAUAAUAUGAAUGCUAGUUCACGUGAGCGCAGAUACAACGUGGUCAAGUCGAAGGCAUACGACUCAUGUCUGACCACAGAGCACAGCUUAGGCCUAGUUUAAAGGCCGCAUUAACGUCGCGCCGUAUAAAAUUCGAAUUUUAGUCGAAGUAAAUAUAGCGGUGGUUUUAGACGCCGUUUUAAAUUAGUUGUAGGUAAAUAAUUUAGUUCUAGCGGGCUAGCGAUAAGUGCCUGCGCUAUAACAAUGACAGCGGUAUAUGGCUCGUUUCGCGGCUUGAAACUUCAUGUAGCCAUCAAUAUAGUGUGUCCUGGAUACUAACUCUAACCCAAACCCUAACCAUAUUGAUGGCUACAUGAAGUAUUAUGCUUUAUCGAGUAUUAAAAGGUACUGUUGGUCUAAGCUGAAACGGUACUGUCGGUCUAAGGCCUAGUUUAAAGGCCGCAUUAACGUCGCAUUAAAUUCAGUCGUAAUAAAUUUGUACAAUUUUAUACAUGGUUAAUUCGUCGUCUAAAACCAUUUUAUACGGCCGGCCGAAUUAAAUACGAGUCUGCGAGAUAAUACGCCUGGUCCAGGCGCAUAGUUCUGCUUAAGUCAGAUUGGUUUUAGACGCCGUAUUAUUCAUGCGCCGUUUAGAAUGCAUAAGUUAUUAUAUUGAAUAUUGUAUUUAUUGGUCCUCUUAUGUUUUUCGAAGACAAAUGGCGGCGUACCAGAAACCCACGUCUCGAUAGACUCGCAAUUUUAUAUUCAAGCACACAGAACACUAAUUUCGUUUUUGUCAAUUUGCAUGCCUGCUUUUCUUAGGAAGAUGUAGGAUGCAGACGAAAGCGAUGGGGACGGACAGGGUCUUGGCCAUGUGUUUGGAUAUGGAAAGCUGACCGUAGAUCUCCUUGAAGGAUCGAAGAUCGCUAAAUUCGUCUUUAUUUAGAUGGACCUCUGGUUCUACUUUGUUUGGGAUGUUUUCCUAGAACAACUAUUUUUACAUUUCUGGUAUUGUGAUAAAUUUCGAAAUAUAAAGCUAUUACUGUACUUAGAGCUUAUUUUCCUAGAGAAUGGAAGCUUAAAAAGCUGAGAAAUUGGUAUUAAUUCAGUCAGACCCUCGUUGUGUUUAGUGUGAGAUGCGAUUAGAAACACAGCAGUUCGGAGAUUG